AGUGAACGCUGGCGGUAGGCCUAACACAUGCAAGUCGAACGGCAGCACAGUAAGAGCUUGCUCUUACGGGUGGCGAGUGGCGGACGGGUGAGGAAUACAUCGGAAUCUACUCUUUCGUGGGGGAUAACGUAGGGAAACUUACGCUAGUACCGCAUACGACCUACGGGUGAAAGCAGGGGAUCUUCGGACCUUGCGCGAUUGAAUGAGCCGAUGUCGGAUUAGCUAGUUGGCGGGGUAAAGGCCCACCAAGGCGACGAUCCGUAGCUGGUCUGAGAGGAUGAUCAGCCACACUGGAACUGAGACACGGUCCAGACUCCUACGGGAGGCAGCAGUGGGGAAUAUUGGACAAUGGGCGCAAGCCUGAUCCAGCCAUACCGCGUGGGUUAAGAAGGCCUUCGGGUUGUAAAGCCCUUUUGUUGGGAAAGAAAAGCAGCAGGUUAAUACCCCGCUGUUCUGACGGUACCCAAAGAAUAAGCACCGGCUAACUUCGUG
rnacentral:rRNA from 1 species